CAUUUGUUCACCAGAUAUAUAAUUUAUUAUGUUGCUUAUGCAUUGUACACUGUAACUCCAUUAUUCCAGCAACUCAAAACCCCAUCCAAUCACUUGGUUCAUCUCACUGUUACAAUCUCUAGGGUGUGUUGUCCUUUGCAUCAGAUUCGAAUACUGUUCCUAUAGCACAGGAAAACUAUAAACACAAUAUAUAAUUGUAUCCAUUCACAUCCAGUAUACAGGAGGCCAGGGACACAGUGGAAUGACAUGGUCAAAUUGCUGAAGAAAUAACUACCAACCCAGAUUUCUAUCCACAACAAUAGUAUUUUUCAGGAAGAGCACAAUAUAAGAUUAUAUCUGGUCAAAAAUUGGAAAUUUAGUAGAAAAGUAACCCUAAAAGUUAUCCUUAAGGCCAAAGGAAAGUGAUUACAGGUGAAAGUUCUGCAGUGGUAGAAGGAAUGAGAAUCCAAGAGAUGGAUGCAUCUGCAGAUCAAUACAAUUACUUAUUAUCUCUAUACAACAUGAACAAUAUCUUCUAAUUGAGCAGAAUAAUAGAUAUGCUAUACUCCAAUACCAACACUCAAUGACAGAACAGCAGAUAUCAGUUGCCGAAUGUUUUCUUUUAGCACAAACUGAGUAUUUAAAAAACUGACAAUAUGUAGUAUCAGAAAAAAUCUUUAACUUUCAUAGAAUAAAAGAGAGAAUACAAUCAGUGUAGAGAUCAACAAAAGAUACCUCAAACUCCUGGCCUCAAGUGAUCCUCUUGCCUCAGCCUCCCAAAAUGUUGAGAUUACAGGCUUGAGCCAUCAUGCCCAGCCUAGAUACCUGAUUUCUUUUUAAUUAUGCUUGAAAUUCAAAUUACAAAAUACUAAGUAACCCAUGCAUAGAGGAAACAAAAAUUGAAGAUUAUUUUAUUUGUAAAAUAAUGACAAUACCAAUUUCAUAGGACUUUUUAUUAGUAGUAUCAUAGGCAGUCUUCUGACAAAUUAGGAAAAGUAGAUAGGGUCUGUCCUUAGAGUAGUGGCUUGGGCUGAUUACCUAACUUCUCUGCACCUCAGCACUGUCAUCAUUACAUUGAAGGGGUCCCUACGGUGCCUUAAAGUGCUCAAGCUCUAUUAUUCACCACACUAUUUUGUCAUUUUUAAAUUAUCAUAGGAUAUUCAACCUGAAGUUUUACUUUACCUGCCCACGUCAUCUCUACAUAUUCUCAUGAGAUGCAGUUCAUGAAUUCUAAAGCAGUAUCAUUUAAUGUAUUAUUUUAAAAAGAUAUUUAGAAAGGUAUAUUCAUUUCAAACAUCUUUAAGAAUAACAGUAUAUCCACUUAAUACCAAAAAGCAUCUCUACAGCAUUAUUUCAUUUAUAUCAAUUUUUAAAUCAGCCAAAAAUGCAAAGCUACUAUUAGUAAUAUACAUUUAAGGUGUCGAACUAUGAAGAAAGUAAAAUGAGUAAGGCAAAAUUCUGGAUGGCGGCAUCCUCUGAAGGUGGAGGAUGGAAUUGGCAAUCUGGCAGGCUCAUGCCGGGCAUGCUGAUUUUGUUCUAUUAUAUAAUCAAGGGGCAGGGUUGAGUGUAUUAGUUUAUUAUAUUUAUCAUGUUUUCCCAUUUUUUAUUCAUGUAUAAGUAAAGAUUAAGUGGACAAAUCUUAAUAGCCUGAAGACUGUCUACAUGUGUUUCCCAUGUAAUUCCUAGUAAUGCAAAGAGAGAGAACAUUCCCAAUAGCUUCUCAGGCACAAAUUUGCCCUCUCAGUUAAUACUGCAUAAAUGUGACCAUUAUCUUGUCUUUUAUCAUCAUGUAUGAUGUUUGGUUAUGAACUUAACAACAUAAUUCUACAGUAUUUCCUACUGUGUAUCUGGUAUGCCACUGCCACUCAAGGUUUCUUUGAGAGGGAGACUAUAUAUUUGUUACUAUUAUUAAUGAAUCUAUUUCCAUGACUGCUGUGAAAAACCCAGGCUGAGUUAACAGUGAUGAGCUCUGGCCAGGCACAGUGGCUCACGCCUGUAAUCCAACACUUUGGAAGGCUGAGGCAGGAGGAUCACUUGAGCCCAGGAGUUCAAGACCAGGCUGGGGAACAUAGGGAGACCUCAUCUCUAGAAACUCACAGGUGGCAUGCGCCUGUGGUCUCAGCUACUAGGGAGGUUGAGGCAGGAGGACUGCUUAGGCCAGGAGGAUAAGGCUACAGUGAGCUAUGACUGCACAACUGCACUCCAGCCUGGGGGAUAGAGCAAGACCCCAUCUCAAAAAAAAAAAAAAGAAAAAGCCUCAAGCAUGUCAGUUCAAAAAAAAUUUUUUUUUAAGUGAUGAGUUCUGGAGGUAAAUACACCCACUCUGGAUUUUCUGGUUACAAUCACUACCUUUUCUCUCAACCUCAGCUAGAAAUCCAGACUCAUGAGGCCUCAAUCCCUGACCUUUCAUUCCUUGCAAAUGCCAAAGCCAACUAUGUAGGAAACUUUUUCAGAGAAGAAAACUCUGUCCUCCCAGAAGAUAAAUUUUCCACUUUGCUCUACGAGGCAGAGAGCAACCUCAAACCACAAACAGGUUGGGACUUGAACAGGCCUGAACUCAAGUAUUCUUUCCUGGGAAAUUCAUCCAUCUUGUUGGAUAAAAGCAGCAGUUUUAAUCAGUGUGUUUUCAUCCAUUUACUUACUGUUUCACAGUUUACUUAAACAUCUUACAAAUGACUGUCAAUUGAACUAUUUACAGUUGUUAUUAUAAAAGUUUUUUUUUUUUUUUCUUGAGACAUAGCCUUCACUCUGUCGCCCAGGCUGGAGUGCAGUGGGGUGAUCUCGGCUCACUGCAAGCUCUGCCUCCCGGGUUCAUGCCAUUCUCCUGUCUCAGCCUCCCGAGUAGCUGGGACUACAGGCGCCUGCCACCACGUCUGGCUAAUUUUUUGUAUUUUUUUAGUAGCGACAGGGUUUCACCGUGUUAGCCAGAUGGUCUUGAUCUCCUAGCCUUGUGAUCCACCCGCCUCGGCCUCCCAAAGUGCUGGGAUUACCGCGCCCGGCCGAAAGUGUUUUAAAUCUUUGUAUACAUGUAUUUUGGUGUAAGAAAGCACUCAAUCCUAAUGAGUAUGCCCCAACAUGACUUGUUUGGUUAUAAAAUAUAAGUAUGUUUAAAUUUAAUGUGAAACCCUUAAGUAACAACAUAUAUAAACAUUAACUCAAACAGAUGUCAAAGCUUUGCAACACUGAGUUACACAAAGCCUAAUUAGGUAGACAAGGAUGGGAGGCUGAGGUGGGAGGAUCACUUGAGUUCAGGAGAUCAAGACCAGCCUGGGCAACGUAGUGAGACCCCCAUAUCUAUAAAACAACAACAACAAAAAUAGGAUAACAAAGAACACAAACAACCGAAAUAUUUUGGAUUACAUCAAAAUUUAAAACUAUUCUUCAGGAUACACUGCUAAGAUAACAAAAAGAAACCAAAUACAGAUAAAUGGUUUGCAAAACAUGUAUCUGACAAAUAACUAGCAUUCAGAAUAUUAAAAGAUACAAUGAAUUCUUAAAAUUCAAUGUUAAGAAGAAAAAACAAUUUAAAGUGGGACAAAAGAUUUGGACAGAUAGGGUCUGGUGCAGUGGCUCACGCCUGUAAUCCCAGCACUUUGGGAGGCUGAGGUGGGCGGAUCACCUGAGGUCAGGAGUUCAAGACCAGCCUGGCCAACAUGGUGAAACCCCAUCUCUACAAAAAAUAAAAAAAUUAGCUGGGCGUUGUGGUGGGGGCCUGUAAUCCCAGCUACUUGGGAGGCUGAGGCAGGAGAACUGCUUGAACCUGGGAGACGGAGGUUGUGGUGAGCUGAGAUCUCACCAUUGCACUCCAGCCUGGGCAACAAGAACGAAACUCCGUCUCAAGAAAAAAAAAAAAAAGAUUUGGAAAGAUAACUAAAGAUAUAUGAACAAUGAACAUAUGAAAAAAUGCUCAAUACCAGUAGUCAUUUCAGCAAUGAAAUUUAAAUCCACAAUGAGACACCUCUACACAUCUGUUAAAUUGAAAAACUUAAAGUGUAACAAAACCAAGUGCUCAAAAAGAUGUAGGACUGGAGCUCCCACAAAAUACUGGUGAGAAAUCAAAAUGGUACAGCCAUUUUGGAAAACAACUUGGCAGUUUCCUAUACAGGUAAAUAUACACAUAUCAUAUGACACAGCAAUUCUACUCCUAGUUAUUUACAGAAUACAAACGAAAAUGUUUCCAACCAAAUAUCUGUAGCAAGAGAGUGACUUCAGCAAGAAGGCAGAUUAGCAGUCCGUAAAUGCUGUUCUCCCCACCCCCACAGAGCCAAAAUAAAUAAGCAAAUACAUUUUAAUGCAAAUAACUAAAGGAAAGCACCAGAAUAUGUCAAAGUAAUAACAAAAACUCUGGUGAGCACAGAAACUCAGGAUAGCCAAGCAGAGAAUGGAACACCUGGUCUCCACAACCCCAUCCCCCAGCCAAGAUCAGCUGAAAACCAGAAGGAAUUUCUCCGUAUGUGGAAAAAGUGAGCAAUAGCAUACCAGCAGCGUACAUCACCACCUUGGACACCUACAGUACUCACCAC
rnacentral:lncRNA from 10 species